AUAGCCUACGGGACGCAGCAGUGGGGGAUAUUGGACAAUGGGGGGAACCCUGAUCCGGCGACGCCGCGUGAGUGAAGAAGUAUUUCGGUAUGUAAAGCUCUGUCAGAAGGGAAGAAAGAAAUGACGGUAUCUGACCAAGAAGCCCCGGCUAACUACGUGCCAGCAGCUGCGGUAAUACGUAGGGGGCAAGCGUUAUCCGGAAUUACUGGGUGUAAAGGGAGCGUAGACGGUUAAGUAAGUCU
rnacentral:rRNA from 1 species